GUCUACAGCCACGCCACCCUGAACAAGCCCAAUCCCAUCUGAUCUAGGAAACUAAGCAGGGUCAGGCCUGGUUAGUACUUAGAUGGGAGACAACCUAGGAAGACCAGGUGCUGUACAUG
rnacentral:rRNA from 1 species